ACGUGCCCAUGCCCUACACGCGCAGCCUCGAGCUGCUCGCGCUGCCCCGCCCCGACAGCGUCGUGGGCGCCGUGUCCGCCGUGCUGCAGAACAAAAUAUCUCAAGCAGCCAGCCAGUAAUCGGGUAAUCUCGACCAUACUCCACUGCGGCUUUUAUUGUAAAUAAUUAUAUUUUAUUAUUUAUUUUUUACUUAUUUUCAAAAUGUGGCGUUCACUGCCUCCUGCAAUCUGAGAUGUAUCUGAGCAAUGUAUGAACUGUGAAUGGAGAAUUUAGAUAAUGUUAUUAAAGAAAUCUGUUAGGAAA